GCAAAAACGAAAACACGUGGCGUCAUUCUGUUUUCGAAAGUCGCGGUGAUAAGACGUAUCGUUGCGAUUUAUUCAAACGCAAUUUAUUCAACGCAAUUUAUCCAACGCUUGUUAUAAUUUUUACGAGUGCCGCGCCCACAUUACGGAACCCCCGCCGUCUCUGAAUAAGGAUUUCACCCCGCCUUCGCCUUUCUUCAUCCCCGUUUUCCACCCCGAAGAACGUCGUUACACCGCUUCCGCGUUCGAGAGCCUCGCCUUGUCGCUUCAGCCGAUUUUCCAGAAUCUUGUAUAGGAUCUUCCAAGAAGCAUUUUGGAUCUGAUUUUCUUUUAAAAAAUCAAGGUCUUCGAGAUGAAUCAAGAUGAUCUUCAGUUCAAGAAAAUGGAUCGAUACGGGUUAUAUUAAUUGGAGUUCGAGAUCCGGUUUCGUUGCAUCGGUCCUUCCACGGUCACUGAUUAAAUUGGAGAGUCGGGAAAAUCAGUGCAUCACCGUCUGCCUCCGUCGAAAUGAAGGGGAGAGGGGUCCCCGUAUCGGAAACGCGUUUCGCCAUGCGAUUAAGUGCACGGGGGGGUCUCUAAAUGGAGGAAGAAGCUCGUGGAAAAUGGUAAUUGAAUCGUCCGCUGCGGAGAUUCCCCAAGAUAUGUAUCAAAUGAAUAAAUUUACAUACACGUGAAACUACUAACGCAAUAUAGAUUUUAUCCGUGUGGAGAUAAUGUCGAAU